rnacentral:rRNA from 1 species
AGAGUUUGAUCAUGGCUCAGAUUGAACGCUGGCGGCAUGCUUUACACAUGCAAGUCGAGCGGCAGCGCGGGGGCAACCCUGGCGGCGAGCGGCGGACGGGUGAGUAAUGCAUCGGAACGUAUCCCGUAGUGGGGGACAACCCAGCGAAAGCUGGGCUAAUACCGCAUAUGCUCUACGGAGGAAAGCAGGGGACUCGCAAGAGCCUUGUGCUAUGGGAGCGGCCGAUGUCCGAUUAGCUAGUUGGUGGGUAAAGGCUUACCAAGGCGACGAUCGGUAGCUGGUCUGAGAGGAUGAUCAGCCACACUGGGACUGAGACACGGCCCAGACUCCUACGGGAGGCAGCAGUGGGAAUUUUGGACAAUGGGGGCAACCCUGAUCCAGCCAUGCCGCGUGCGGGAAGAAGGCCUUCGGGUUGUAAACCGCUUUUGGUCGGGAAGAAAAGGUUCUCCCUAAUACGGAGGACUGUUGACGGUACCGGCAGAAUAAGCACCGGCUAACUACGUG